UACAGCGAUAUCACGUUGAAACACGGCUCCCCUUAGGAUCACCGCAGUUAAGCAACGUCAAGCUUUGUCAGAACUUAGAUGGGUGACCACUUGGAAAUACCAUGUGCCGUAA